CCAGAUUUUCUCCUCUUCCUUCCCUCUUUACAUUUCUCCAACCAAAAUCAUGAAAUUUAGCCAUUUAAUCCUCCAAAAACCCUAGAACCCGAAGCUAAAAUUGGGGCUUUUGUGAUUUCUUCUUUCCAAGCUCAAAUCAAGGCUAUGGGUUUGACAAGGAUUUGUGGUAAGGAUCUAUCCAUGCAACCUUGUUUCGCAAUUUUUGGUUGUGGUAUUGAUGAUGGACGGAUUUGUAGGUGAAGAAGGCCAUGGAGGAAGCUUAGGCCGUGAGUUUUGAAGAAGAAAGGGUAAGGAAUGGGUUUUGGACAAACCCUAGAAUUUUUGGAAUUUAUUUGGUUGAUUUUGAUUUUGUUGAGAUAUUGUUGUUGUUGGAAAAAUUGUGAAAAAUAGAGUUUUGAAGAGAGUUUAAUUAGUAGGAUUUUAUUGAUCUAAUUUUCAAAGGAUUGGAAAUUGGUGUUGAA